rnacentral:rRNA from 1 species
UGGGGAAUUUUGGACAAUGGGGGAAACCCUGAUCCAGCCAUCCCGCGUGUGCGAUGAAGGCCUUCGGGUUGUAAAGCACUUUUGGCAGGAAAGAAACGUCAUGGGUUAAUACCCCGUGAAACUGACGGUACCUGCAGAAUAAGCACCGGCUAACUACGUGCCAGCAGCCGCGGUAAUACGUAGGGUGCAAGCGUUAAUCGGAAUUACUGGGCGUAAAGCGUGCGCAGGCGGUUCGGAAAGAAAGAUGUGAAAUCCCAGAGCUCAACUUUGGAACUGCAUUUUUAACUACCGGGCUAGAGUGUGUCAGAGGGAGGUGGAAUUCCGCGUGUAGCAGUGAAAUGCGUAGAUAUGCGGAGGAAAACCGAUGGCGAAGGCAGCCUCCUGGGAUAACACUGACGCUCAUGCACGAAAGCGUGGGGAGCAAACAGG